rnacentral:rRNA from 1 species
UACGAAGGGGGCUAGCGUUGCUCGGAAUCACUGGGCGUAAAGGGUGCGUAGGCGGGUCUUUAAGUCAGGGGUGAAAUCCUGGAGCUCAACUCCAGAACUGCCUUUGAUACUGAAGAUCUUGAGUUCGGGAGAGGUGAGUGGAACUGCGAGUGUAGAGGUGAAAUUCGUAGAUAUUCGCAAGAACACCAGUGGCGAAGGCGACUUCCUGGCCUGUUCUUGACGCUGAGGCGCGAAAGCUAGGGGAGCAAACGGG